CUCCUGCGAGGCAAUUCCACUGAACCAAUUCGCAAUCGUUUCCAAAAGUUUUUCUAAUUCCUUCGCUAUUAACGCCACAAACAGGUUCAUACUCCCCAGUACACAACACACACUCUUGGCCCAUCUUAAAGGUUCCUGUUUCAGAAUAACUCCAGGCUUGAGCCACGAAAACGGC